rnacentral:rRNA from 1 species
GUCUAAGGCCACACCACCCUGAACGCGCCCGAUCUCCUCUGAUCUCGGAAGCUAAGCAGGGUCGGGCCUGGUUGGUACUUGGAUGGGAGACCGCCUGGGAAUACCGGGUGCCGUAGGCU